GACGCUUGAGGGAUGUUCCAUUGCUAUAAGGAUAGGCACUGGAAAUGUUAACCGAGUCAUAAUCAAGCUUAGGCUUGGUAUCCUAUUAUUAUUUACCAAAAGAAUUCAGAAUUAAUAUUGUAACAUAGACGUAAAAAAUCUAUAAAACAACUUUUAACAACGGAUCUCUUGGUUCUCGCAUCGAUGAAGAACGUAGCAAAGUGCGAUAACUAGUGUGAAUUGCAUAUUCAGUGAAUCAUCGAGUCUUUGAACGCAACUUGCGCUCAUUGGUAUUCCAAUGAGCACGCCUGUUUCAGUAUCAAAACAAACCCUCUAUCCAACUUUUGUUGAAUAGGAUGACUGAGAGUCUCCUGAUCUAUUCUGAUCUCGAACCUCUUGAAAUGUACAAAGGCCUGAUCUUGUUUGAAUGCCUGAACUUUUUUUUAAUAUAAA
rnacentral:misc_RNA from 1 species